UGGAACGAAAAGACACAGCGAGAAAGACUGGUUGCCAAUUAUCGUUGUUGUUUGUUCUGCUUCGCUUGGUCGCUCCGUCUUCUUCACGGUACGAAUACGAUCUUCCCAAAUUCAAAUUUCUUGAGAAAACUUAAUUUGCCUUCAAACAUUGGGGGAGUGGAUUAGUGAUUUGUGUUCCGUACGUUACAAGUCAAAUAGAUUCUACUCGUUGAAUUUGUCGUUGUGUGAUUGAUUUGAGAGUGAUUUAGAAGUUCGGGGAUUUUGGAUUAUGGCGACGGCCGCUGAUGAGGACGGCGAUGCGGUGCUGAGUGACGUGGAAGAAGAGAUCAAUGUGAGAGAUUCGUCUGAAGAGGAGGUUUCUGUUGAGAGAUAUCGUGAAGUGCUCGCGGAGUUAAAUCGAGAGAGGCAAGCGCGACAGGCAGCGGAGAAUUUGACGUCUGAAUUGAGUGAGAAAUUCAAUCGGUUGAAGGCUUUAGCUCACGAGUCAAUCAAGCGGCGAGACGAGUUCGCGAGACAGAGAGACGAAGCUUUGCGCGAGAAGGAGGAGGUUACGAGAUCGAAUGAGAAGUUAUCGGCCAAAAUCGCCGAAGCUAAUAAUGCGAAAGAGGAGAUUUUGAAGCAGUUAGAUGAAAUGACGAGAGCAAAAGAUGGAUUAAAAUCGGAAAUUGAGAAUUCGGCUCAUAUGCUAGUGACAGCAAUUGAUAAAAUAUCGGGAAAAGUUAGUCAUUUUAAGAAUUUCUCGGCCGGUGGAUUGCCCAGGUCGCAGAAAUAUACUGGAUUGCCGGCCGUUGCUUACGGGGUGAUAAAGAGAACGAACGAGAUUGUUGAAGAGCUUGUUAGACAAAUUGAUUCGACUGCAAAGUCUAGGAAUGAUGUGAGAGAACAGAUGGAGCAGAGAAAUUUCGAGAUUGCCAUUGAGGUUUCGGAACUUGAAGCCACCAUUAGUGGAUUGAGAGAGGAAGUUGCAAAGAAGAACAAUGUUAUUGAGGGUUUGGAGAAGAGUGUGAAAGAAAAAGAAGAGAAGAUUGUGGAGUUUGAAAAUCAUGGUUUGGAGCUGAGGCAGUUACUGGGUGAAUGUGAUGAUAAGUUGAGGAAUUUGGAAACUAAAAUGGAAUCUCAGAGGCCUUUGUUGGUUGAUCAGUUGAAUUAUGUAUCCAAAAUUCAUGACCAGGUUUAUGCUGUGAUCAAGUUUGUUGAUGAUGGUAAUUUGGAUCAAUCAGAGUUAUCUGAGUCUUUAUUUCUACCGCAAGAAACUGAUAUGGAAGAGAACAUACGAGCUUCAUUAGCAGGAAUGGAGUCUAUAUAUCAGUUAACGAGAAUAGUGGGUGAGAAGACAAGGGAUUUGGUAGAGGACAAGAAUCUUGAAUUGAAGAAUUUAAAAGAAACAGUAGGUCGAUUGAUUAAAGAGAAAGAACAUAUUGGUUCAUUGCUCAGGAGUGCUUUGUCAAAAAGAUUCACGGUAGAUACAUCUUCAAAAACAAAUGAGUUGUUUCAGGUAGCAGAGAAUGGUUUAAGAGAAUCUGGGAUAGAUUUUAAGUUCAGUAAGCUGCUAGAUGGUAAGGUUGCAGCUUCGCAUAAUAAAGCUGUUAUGGAGACAGAGGAGGAUGAAAUAUACACUUUGGCCGGUGCUUUGGAGAAUAUUGUGAAGGAAUCUCAACUGGAGAUCAUUGGACUACAGCAUUCUGUGGAAGAAUUAAGGGCAGAGUCAGACUUACUUAAAGAGCGUGUAGAGUCUCAGGCCAAGGAACUCAGCCAUAAAAUGCGACGAAUAGAGGAACUCGAAGAGAAGGAGAGAGUGGCAAAUGAAAAUGUUGAGGGGCUUAUGCUGGACAUUGCUGCUGCUGAAGAAGAGAUUACCAGAUGGAAAGCAGCAGCUGAGCAAGAGGCUGAUGCAGGCAAAGGUGUUGAACAAGAGUUUGUGUCACAGUUGUCAGCACUUAAACAAGAACUAGAAGAGGUGAAACAGGCUUUGUCGGAAUCAGAGAAGAAGCUGAAAUUCAAAGAAGAAACAGCUGCUGCUGCUAUGGCAGCAAGAGAUGCGGCUGAGAAAUCAUUGAGGUUGGCAGAUAUGAGAGCAUCUAGGCUGAGGGAAAGAGUUGAGGAGCUCAGCCGACAACUUGAAGAAUAUGAAACAACAGAAGACUCAAGAGGCCGAAAUAGACCUAGAUAUGUGUGCUGGCCAUGGCAAUGGCUUGGAAUAGACUUUGUGGGAAUCCACAAGCCUCAUUCACUCCAACAGACUUCGAAUGAAAUGGAGCUUUCUGAACCCCUUAUCUGAAUACAAGUCUUGGACAGGUUUUUUUGAGUGAGACUUGAGUGUGCGGGAGCCAGCACAUUUCGAUGCUGUCCAAGCAAUCUUGUGAUAUCUUCAACAACGUUAAACUGGUGUCAAUGGCAUCAACCAAUGCCAUCUCCCAAAUCAAUGGCAUCAACCAAUUCCGACAUCGCCAAAGAGUUUCACUUCUUCCGAGUUUGCAAGGAUGGUCGCAUCGAGUUGUUCCGUCCACACUGGGACAAGAUCUCGCCCACCGAUGACCCCAUCACCGGAGUUUGUACCAAAGACGUCACCAUCUCCUCUGAACCUCUUGUGUCCGCCCGUAUUUUCAUCCCUCAACUCACAAGCCCCCACCCAAAAGUUCCCUCUCUUACUCUACGUCCACAGCGGCGGCUUCUCCAUGCUCUCUGCCUUUUCUCCGCAGUACCAUAACUUCUGCAGCACCGUUUCAUCCCAAGCCGGCGUAAUAGUCAUCUCCGUUGAGUACGGACUCUUCCCAGCCCGACCCAUUCCUGCUUGUUACAAAGACUCAUGGGCUGCUCUCCGCCGGGCGGCGUCGCACGUAGGUGGAAACGGACUUGACCCUUGGUUGAACCACAGCGCCGACUUCAGCAAAGUUUUUAUCGGCUGUGAUAGCGCUGGAGGAAAUAUUUCGCAUACUCUGACUUUCCGAGUCGAUCAAUCGGGUUAGCGGGUGUGAAAGUAGAUGGUGUGAUUUUGGUUCAUCCGUAUUUCGGUGGAACGGAAGAUGAUGAGAUGUGGCUGUGUAUGAAUCCAAGUAACAGUGGGUUGCAGGAUCCGAGCAUGAAACCGCCUGCAGAGGAUCUGGCUGAGCUUGGGUGUGAGAGAGUGCUGAUACUUGUGGCGGAGAAAGAUCAUUUGAGGAUCCCGGGGAAAGAUUAAUGUGAAGAUGUGAAGAAAAGUGGAUGAAGAGGAAAAGUUGAGCUGGUUGAAAAUCAUGGGGAAGAACACUGCUUCCAUUUUCACGAUCCCAAAUAUGAAAAGGGUGUGGGGUUAACCAAUAAGUUUGUUUCAUUUAUCAAACAAGGUUAACGGGUUUUCGUCAAGAUCUCGCUGUUGUAAUAAGAGUAGUGAGUCUCUGAUAUUGAUGAAAUAAUUACAAUCCAUGAUUGAGCUCUGAAAUUUACUUUAA